rnacentral:lncRNA from 1 species
GUAUAAAUUAGAUUAUUUGGAUCAUUUGAAGACAAAUCUCUUUUUUUCUUAUAUAAAGAGUGUUCCAUUUAAAAAAAAAUUUAUUGAAGCAAAGAUAGUUCAUAAAAAAAUUUUAUUCUUUUCUUUCUUGAUUCUAGCAUCAAAGCAAUAGAUAUGAAAGAGAUAAUUCUUUCUCUUUUUCUUAUUUUGAUAUUAAGGUGAGAAUGAGAUAAAUUGAGCAAGAAUCAAAAAUGGAUGUAUCGA